CGCCGACUACUAAACCGCAACUAUUAUAUAACCGCGAGUUCAUCUAUUGUGUGUAUAUUUUGUGCCUGUUUAAGGUAGGACAUCAAGUUUUAGGUUAUGUGAGGCGUGGUUUUCCUUUACUUUACGAUAUAUGUAUGUAUGCACAUGUAUA